AACGAACGCUGGCGGCAGGCCUAACACAUGCAAGUCGAACGCUCCGCAAGGGAGUGGCGCACGGUGAGUAACACGUGGGAACCUACCUUCUGUACGGAACAACCAAGGGAAACUUUGGCUAAGACCGUAUACGACCUCCGGUGAAAGAUUGAUCGCCGGAAGAGGGCCCGCGUCCGAUUAGGUAGUUGGUGAGGUAACGGCUCACCAAGCCUUCCGAUCGGUAGCUGGUCUGAGAGGA
rnacentral:rRNA from 1 species